CCUACGGGAGACAGCAGUGAGGAAUAUUGGUCAAUGGACGAGAGUCUGAACCAGCCAAGUAGCGUGAAGGAUGACUGCCUUCUGGGUUGUAAACUUUUUUUAUAUGGGAGUAAACCGUUCCACUUGUGGCCUUUUGUAUGUACCUUAUCAAUAAGGCUCGCCUCAUUCCGUGCCAGACGCCGCGGUAAUCCGGAAGAUGCGAGCGUUACACGGAUUUAUUUGGUUUCAAGGGAGCGUAGGCGGUUCCAUAAGUCAGCGGUAAAUUCGUGGGGCUCAACCGUACCGUGCCGUUGAAACUGGGGGACUUGAGUAUGGGAAGGGGACAUGGAAUUCGUGGUGUAGCGGUGAAAUGCUUAGAUAUCACGAAGAACACCGAUCGCGAAGGCAUUGUACCGGAGCAAGACUGACGCUGAGGCUCGAAAGUGCGGGUAGCAAACAGGAUUAGAUACCCGUGUAGUC
rnacentral:rRNA from 1 species